AACGCUGGCGGCAUGCUUACACAUGCAAGUCGGACGGCAGCACAGAGAAGCUUGCUUCUUGGGUGGCGAGUGGCGAACGGGUGAGUAACAUAUCGGAACGUACCGAGUAGUGGGGGAUAACUGGUCGAAAGAUCAGCUAAUACCGCAUACGUCUUGAGAGGGAAAGCAGGGGACCUUCGGGCCUUGCGCUAUUCGAGCGGCCGAUAUCUGAUUAGCUAGUUGGUGGGGUAAAGGCCUACCAAGGCGACGAUCAGUAGCGGGUCUGAGAGGAUGAUCCGCCACACUGGGACUGAGACACGGCCCAGACUCCUACGGGAGGCAGCAGUGGGGAAUUUUGGACAAUGGGCGCAAGCCUGAUCCAGCCAUGCCGCGUGUCUGAAGAAGGCCUUCGGGUUGUAAAGGACUUUUGUCAGGGAAGAAAAGGCUGUUGCUAAUAUCAGCGGCUGAUGACGGUACCUGAAGAAUAAGCACCGGCUAACUACGUGCCAGCAGCCGCGGUAAUACGUAGGGUGCGAGCGUUAAUCGGAAUUACUGGGCGUAAAGCGAGCGCAGACGGUUACUUAAGCAGGAUGUGAAAUCCCCGGGCUCAACCUGGGAACUGCGUUCUGAACUGGGUGACUAGAGUGUGUCAGAGGGAGGUAGAAUUCCACGUGUAGCAGUGAAAUGCGUAGAGAUGUGGAGGAAUACCGAUGGCGAAGGCAGCCUCCUGGGA
rnacentral:rRNA from 1 species